CCCUUAGAUGUUCUGGGCCGCACGCGCGCUACACUGACGCAUUCAACGAGUUACCUUGGCCGAGAGGCCUGGGCAAUCUUUUGAACGUGCAUCGUGAUAGGGAUAGAUUAUUGCAAUUAUUAAUCUUAAACGAGGAAUUCCUAGUAAACGCAGUUCAUCAAACUGCAUUGAUUACGUCCCUGCCCUUUGUACACACCGCCCGUCGCACCUACCGAUUGGAUGGUCCGGUGAAGCCUCGGGAUUGUGGCCAGUGCCUUUUUGGUUUUGGUUGCGAGAACUUGUCUAAACCUUAUCAUCUAGAGGAAGGUGAAGUCGUAACA
rnacentral:rRNA from 1 species